ensembl:lncRNA
AAUUAUUCUGCGCGGGGCUCUGUACCUGGGGUUAGAGCCUCGCCUCUGGAGUAAAUAAGUCACUGCGAGCGUGUGUGCUCACGUCGCACAUCUAAGGAAGACACACAUGCACACACACACACACACACACACACACACACACACACACACGUACGUACAUAGUCCCAGGAGCAGGCGCAGGCGCACAAAUUCAAUCUUGCAUCUGGCUACAAAUGUAGAUCACACACAUAUAUGCUCUCUCACAGACACACACACACACUCGCCAUCCUUCUUCCUGUCACACAGAUAGCCCUUGCGUUCCAGUAAUGAAGCUCUGUGUGUUGAAUCCACACUCGGCCACUGAGCCACUAACACAAAGAUUGCAGCAGAGAACCCCCCAUCUCUGCUCUUCAACUCCCCCUUUUCUCUUUUUCCCCACUCAACCCCUUCAUCCUUUCUUUUUUUUUUUUUUUUUUUUUACUUUUUUCUUUCUUCCCUCACUCCCACUUUCUGGAGCCCUGAUACGAAAUCAUUCUGUCGGUGCCGUGAUAGAAACAAGGACAAUUUGACUUGAGCAAGAGAGGAAGGGAGAGGAAGAUGGAAUGAGUGUGUUUGAGAAAAAAAGAAAGACAGGGAGAAGAGGGAGACAUUGUGUACUUGUCAGUGUACAACUGGGGUCUCUGAUAUAAAUCUUAAUAUCCUAUUUAAGGCUUUUUUUCUUCAUCAGGGACCUUGAUUUAUUAGCGCGGCAUCCCCUUCAAUUUAUCAAAAUAAACUAUGAACUCGUGGUCGCAGCCAGCAGGGCCAAUUAAAGCAAACAGCAGACCGAGAGAGAGGGGCUCGACGUACACACACGUACAUAAAUUUUUCUCGUCUUUUCUUUACUUCUCUCCAUCUCCAUCUCCAUCAGUGGCUCAAUGAGGGCAGCUAGUGUAAAUGACUGAGCUCCCCAAGAACCAGAGAGAGAGCCGGAGAUGUGGAGAGAAGAGAGAGGCAGAGAUGGGCGGGGGGCAGAGAUCUAAGACACCAGGGAGAGCUUUGUAUAAAAGCUGGAUAAAUUUGUUUAGGGAUCUCCAGUGUAUAUCUACACAUGUAGAGAUGUGUGUGCAGAUAAUGAGUGUCUGUUUCUCUGCUCCAAAGGCUAUGGUGUGUUUGGUUACUGUAUAUGAGUGCAGCUU